UACAGUGGAAGGCUUGUGGUGUUGCUGGCCCUUGAUCGCUGGAAGGAUUCCGAGCAGCCAUCUGCACCCAAACCAGAUGCCAAAAUAACCAGGGAAGCCCAAGAGUGACGGGGCCCAAGACCUUCCGCUACACCUCCCGUCGGACAACUAGCCAUAUCUUCUGAGAAGCCUCAGAUAACCCUUGACAUGACAGGAAAAGGACAACAACCUGUGUGGGUUCCCUCCCGACAACUGAAAUUGCACCAUAACUCCCAAGAAGAAACACUCCCAGAAACAAAAGGCAAAGACCCCUCUGAAACCAAAGAGCAAGUAUCACCGCCUGACACAUAAACUUCAUGACCUCGACAUUGAGACAAAAUCUCGCCGUGUGACCUACAACACCACUCAUUUAACUCCACCAACUUGGGGUCAAAUAAAGGUCUUAUCCCAUCAACAGAAAAAUCAUUAAGAGAAAAAUGAAUCCCCAAAACGACAGUCUGCAGAUCCCGCAAGGAAUCCGAAGACAAGUCCAAAGUCAACGACAAGCAAUGAUGGCAAUGGUGAUCCUAGUUAAUAAAAAGCGGGGAGAUGUGGGUGGCAAGCCACCCAGGUGCCGAGGCAAGAGACCGAGAGCACGAGCUGUUCCAGUGUAAUAAAAUAUAUAAAAUAACAAGAGUUAUACUGAUAUAGCUCAUAGAUAUGAUUAUAUAUAAAUACCAUUAAUCAUUAGUUUGUAGUAAUUACUCUUUAUUCAAAUAUUAUAAUAAUCCUCACUCUACAAUCAUAACCUAGAAAAAGGCAGGCCAUGCAGAGAUAGGAGCUGAGGGGACAUGGUGAGAAGUGACAAGAAGACAAGAGUGUGAGCCUUUUGUUAUGCCCAGGCAGGGCCACCAGAGGGCUCCUUGGUCUAGCAGUAAUGCCAGCGUCUGGGAAGAUGCCCGUACCAAGCGGACCAUGGUCUAGUGGUAGCGUCAGUGCCAAGGAAAAGCACCUGCUACUGAGCAGACCAGGAAAGGGAGUCUCCCUUUCCCCAGGGGAGUUUAGAGAAGACUCUACUCCACCAUCUCUUAUGGAGGGCCUGACAUAAGUCAGGCCUGCCUGCAGUUAUCCAGAGGCCUGACCGUCUCCCUGUGAUGCUGUGCUUCAGUAGUCAUGCUCCUGGUCUGCUUUCAUGUUCCAUCCUGUACACCUGGCUCUGCCUUCUAGAUAGCAAUAGCAGAAUUACUGAAAGUAUUAAAAGUCUCUGAAAUGCAGAAAUAAUGGUGUAAGCUGUCUCUCCUCUCUCUCCGCCUCGGCUGCCAAACAGGGAAAGGCUCCCUUUCCAGUGGAUGCAUGACCCACGUGACCUUACCUAUCAUUGGAGAUGGCUAACACUCC
rnacentral:lncRNA from 10 species